rnacentral:rRNA from 1 species
UACACUCCUACGGGAGGCAGCAGUGGGGAAUAUUGCACAAUGGGCGCAAGCCUGAUGCAGCCAUGCCGCGUGUAUGAAGAAGGCCUUCGGGUUGUAAAGUACUUUCAGCGGGGAGGAAGGCGAUAAGGUUAAUAACCUUGUCGAUUGACGUUACCCGCAGAAGAAGCACCGGCUAACUCCGUGCCAGCAGCCGCGGUAAUACGGAGGGUGCAAGCGUUAAUCGGAAUUACUGGGCGUAAAGCGCACGCAGGCGGUCUGUCAAGUCGGAUGUGAAAUCCCCGGGCUCAACCUGGGAACUGCAUUCGAAACUGGCAGGCUAGAGUCUUGUAGAGGGGGGUAGAAUUCCAGGUGUAGCGGUGAAAUGCGUAGAGAUCUGGAGGAAUACCGGUGGCGAAGGCGGCCCCCUGGACAAAGACUGACGCUCAGGUGCGAAAGCGUGGGGAGCAAACAGGAUUAGAAACCCGGGUAGUCCCA